AUAUCCGGGCUAAGUUCCGAAGGCAUUUGGGUUGGAAAUGUGUGAUCUUGCUGUAAUAAUUCAAAUAAAUGGGCUCACAAACCUAAGAUGGUCAGAUCUUGUUCGUUAGCUACGGUCUCGGGGAUCCCAAAGUCGAAGUCGUCCACACUAUCUAAGCCCAUUCAGUACUCUAGUAGUUAAACUUCGAUAAUGGCAUGUAUAGGCUUGUCUUUUUGUUGUUAAAUAAGUAUCUUUUUGAUGA